UACGAAGGGGGCUAGCGUUGCUCGGAAUUACUGGGCGUAAAGCGCACGUAGGCGGUCUUUUUAAGUCGGGGGUGAAAUCCUGGAGCUCAACUCCAGAACUGCCUUCGAUACUGGAAGACUCGAGUCCGGGAGAGGUGAGUGGAAUUCCCGGUGAUGAGCGGUGAAAUGCGUAGAUAUCGGGGAGGAACACCCUGUGGCGAAAGCGGCUCACUGGUCCGGUACUGACGCUGAGGUGCGAAAGCGUGGGGAGCAAACAGG
rnacentral:rRNA from 1 species